UUAAAAAUUUUUUUUUGAAUUCCCAGGUCCCACCCCAGAUCAAUUAAGUCAGUAGGGUGGAGGGUCACAGCUGUAGAGUUUAUUACUUACACUGCUUGAAGGAACGCUUGAUCCCACUAUAUCUUACAUGGCUGUCACACUCUUCUGUGUGUUUUCCUUGCCUCUCCCUCAUUAACGAGCGUAACGAGUUCAUUACUUCCAUUAAGUCAGCCAACCUUUAUUGAGUGUCUGCUUUAUACCAGGCAUGAAACCAUAAUUUGGAGAUCCAAAGAUGGAUGGCGUAGUUCCUGCCCUCAGGACUUCAUAACUGGGGAGAGAGAAACAUGCAAUGAAAAUGGUAACUCUGGUGUGGCCAAUGCUGUCAUGGAGGAGGGGCACCAUUGUGCAGAGCACAGAGGAGGCAGUGGAGGACUCAGCUUGGAGGGGAUGGAGAACAUUUCCUAGAAGAUCUAAUAACAUCAACGGUGCACCUUGAAAAGAGAGUAGGAAUUCUCCGGGCAGAGGGAACAGCAUGUGCAAAAGCCAGGAAGUAUGAGGCUGGGUUGUGCAUUUAUCCCUCUGUGUCAGACACCGCGUUGAGCACUUCACGUUCAUGAACUCUUCCUAAUCCCACAAGUUACUACAAGGACUGGCAGAAAACCAUGGUCCUGUUAAGAGGAGGUGACUAUCAUCAAGGAUAAAUAUGAAAACAGCAUUUAGGGGCAGCGUGGGACUUGAAUUCAGAGGACCUGGAUCCAAGAACUGGUUCUUCAUCUUAUUGGCUGUGAGAAUUUGGCAAAUUAUGGUACCUCCCUGAAUCUCAGUUUCUUUACCCAUUAAAUGGAGAUAAUAGUACAUACUU